rnacentral:rRNA from 1 species
GGUUAAGCGACUAAGCGUACACGGUGGAUGCCCUGGCAGUCAGAGGCGAUGAAGGACGUGCUAAUCUGCGAAAAGCGCCGGCGAGGUGAUAUGAACCUUUGACCCGGCGAUGUCCGAAUGGGGAAACCCAGUGUGUUCCGACACACUAUCGUUAACUGAAUACAUAGGUUAACGAGGCGAACCGGGGGAACUGAAACAUCUAAGUACCCCGAGGAAAAGAAAUCAACCGAGAUUCCCCCAGUAGCGGCGAGCGAACGGGGAGCAGCCCGGAGUCUGAAUCAGCUUGUGUGUUAGUGGAACGGUCUGGAAAGUCCGACGGUACAGGGUGAUAGUCCCGUACAUGAAAGCACACAUGCUGUGAACUCGAAGAGUAGGGCGGGACACGUGGUAUCCUGUCUGAAUAUGGGGGGACCAUCCUCCAAGGCUAAAUACUCCUGACUGACCGAUAGUGAACCAGUACCGUGAGGGAAAGGCGAAAAGAACCCCGGCGAGGGGAGUGAAAAAGAACCUGAAACCGUGUACGUACAAGCAGUGGGAGCACC